GCUAACUCCGUGUCAGGGGCCGGGGUAAUACGGAGGGUGCAAGCGUUAUCCGGAUUUAUUGGGUUUAAAGGGUCCGUAGGCGGAUCUAUAAGUCAGUGGUGAAAUCUCACAGCUUAACUGUGAAACUGCCGUUGAUACUGUAGGUCUUGAGUAAAUUUGAAGUGGCUGGAAUAAGUAGUGUAGCGGUGAAAUGCAUAGAUAUUACUUAGAACACCAAUUGCGAAGGCAGGUCACUAAGAUUUAACUGACGCUGAGGGACGAAAGCGUGGGGAGCGAACAGGAUUAGAUACCCUGGUAGUC
rnacentral:rRNA from 1 species